GUAUAAUAAAUUAUCAUGACGAACUUUUAUUAAUAUUAUUAUUGUAUUACUUGAAAACAGAUUGGCAUGAAUUUGGCAUAGAAGAUUAUGAUUUCUACAAGUAUUUUGUAUAUAAGGGUUUUCUAAAUUUAAAAGGGUAAAUUACACAAAUGGUCCUUGUGGUUUGGGUCAGUCUUCAUGUUUGGUCCCUUAUAAUUAUCUUAACUCCGAAAAUCCUUAUAACUUUGUUUUGUUGUAAAUCUGCUCCCACCAAACCUAAAUUGACUAUAUUACCCCUAUGUGUUUAUUUUUAAUUAAUAUGUUUUUUAUUACUUCAAAUGUCAACAAAAGAAAAGAAAUGUGCCUCUCUCUCUCUCUCUCUCCGAUCACAUCUAGUGGCAGAUACAAGUAUUUCACGUCUGAUGACUUCAACAAUCACCAAAAUCAAUCUCUGGAACCCCCAACGAACAAAAUUCCCCUUCUAAAAACCAUCGAUUUUUGAAAACCCCAUAUCCUACCCCAUAACCAUCUUCUUAUGAACCUUCAAGUUUUGUAAACCCGAGAUUCAAAGACCAAACAUAGAUCUUUUCAUCAGUUUCUUUGUUUUCGGUGAAGGUAAACCUCUCUCUCUCUCUCUCUCUCUCUCUCUCUCUCUGUGUUGGAGUAUAGAAGGACCCUAAAAUCCAAUCCACGUUUUUUUCUCUGUAGUUCAUGUUUUGGAGAGGCGGAAUAGAUAAGUGGGUUUUUGAAAAGUCUCUCCUGUUAAAAUUUCUUAGUAAAAAGCUUCUCAUGGAUCUGGAUUUUUUGUAUAUUGAUUAUGGUAUUCUGUAUAUCGAUCUAAUUUCUUUUUGUAUAUUGCAUCUAUUUUUUGUGUAGCAACGACUGUAUCAGGGUUUUAUUUGUAUAUUGUAUUUGGGUUUCUUUUAUUCAUAGUUCUCGUAAGGAGUUGGUGGUUCCGAACUUUAACGGUGGUGUCAGACUUAACCGGUGGUGCCAGAAUCUAGGGGUGUAGGACAUGGUUCUCACUUAUUUUGUAAUUAUUUAAGUUUAUUUUUAAAUUUAAUAAAUCUUAAAACAAAAAAAUAAAAAAAUAAAAAUAAAUAAGGGUAACAUGGUCAUUUUGGGGACUCUAAAUGAAACAGAAACAAAUUUUAGGAAGGUUCCUGGUUAAAAAAAAUUGUUAGGGACCAAUCGAAAACCACAUAAGCCUUUCAUGUAUUUUACCCAAUUAAAAAUAAUGUCUAUUGCAUUUAUGGUUCGUUAAUAUGAUAUUUUUAUGAUAAAAUAUAACAUGAUAGAUGUUUCGGUUAUAUAAGUAUCAAAAAUAGUCCACC
rnacentral:lncRNA from 1 species